rnacentral:rRNA from 1 species
UGCCUACGGGAGGCAGCAGUGGGGAAUAUUGGGCAAUGGGCGCAAGCCUGACCCAGCAACGCCGCGUGAAGGAAGAAGGCUUUCGGGUUGUAAACUUCUUUUGACAGGGAAGAGCAGAAGACGGUACCUGUCGAAUAAGCCCCGGCUAAAUACGUGCCAGCAGCCGCGGUAAUACGUAUGGGGCAAGCGUUAUCCGGAUUUACUGGGUGUAAAGGGAGCGUAGGCGGCCUGGCAAGCCUGAUGUGAAAUACCGGGGCCCAACCCCGGGGCUGCAUUGGGAACUGCAAGGCUGGAGUG